GGGGGUGACUGGUUUCGACUCCGAGUGGUUCAUCAGGAGAAGCGUGCCGAGGAAGGCGACGAUGAUCUCGUUAACCAUGCGUCGCAACGCAAUAAGCGCCGACUCUAGUCAGCGCGACUUCGCUCUGGCUGCCUGACAGCCAGAGGUGAGGUCUGUCGGCCCGGGUUCGUCACCGACCCGGUCGCCGGCAUCGACUAGGUGACUCACCGCCGGGCCCGGUCGCGGGGCCCGUCGGGACAUCGCACAGCGACUGGGAUCGUCACACCGGCCCGUCCGCAGGACCGGUGGAUCCGAGCAGAGACGAGGCGGACUGCGCACGGAGAAGUCCUGAUUGCUGAUCGGAGGACCCGGGUUCGAUUCCCGGCACCUCCACCG
rnacentral:tmRNA from 1 species